rnacentral:rRNA from 1 species
UACGAAGGGGGCUAGCGUUGUUCGGAUUUACUGGGCGUAAAGAGCUCGUAGGCGGCUCGGUAAGUCGGGUGUGAAACCUCCAGGCUCAACCUGGAGACGCCACCUGAUACUGCUGUGGCUAGAGUCCGGUAGGGGAGUGUGGAACUCCUGGUGUAGCGGUGAAAUGCGCAGAUAUCAGGAAGAACACCAGCGGCGAAGGCGGCACUCUGGGCCGGAACUGACGCUGAGGAGCGAAAGCGUGGGUAGCAAACAGG